rnacentral:rRNA from 1 species
UACAGAGGGGGCAAGCGUUGUUCGGAAUUACUGGGCGUAAAGGGCGCGUAGGCGGCGUGGUAAGUCACUUGUGAAAUCUCUGAGCUUAACUCAGAACGGCCAAGUGAUACUGCUGUGCUAGAGUGCAGAAGGGGCAAUCGGAAUUCUUGGUGUAGCGGUGAAAUGCGUAGAUAUCAAGAGGAACACCUGAGGUGAAGACGGGUUGCUGGGCUGACACUGACGCUGAGGCGCGAAAGCCAGGGGAGCAAACGGG